rnacentral:rRNA from 1 species
AUGCAAGUUCGCGUGCGCAGUUGCCGUAGCAAUACGGUGAUGGGCGCACGGCGCACGGGUGCGUAACACGUGGGCAAUCUGCCCUUUGAUGGGGAAUAACCCGCCGAAAGGCGGGCUAAUUCCGCAUAAGAUUCAUUGGACCUCGGUCUGAAGAUUGAAAGCAGCAAUGCGUCGAAGGAGGAGCCCGCGCCCGAUUAGCUAGUUGGUGAGGUAAUGGCUCACCAAGGCAAUGAUCGGUAGCUGGUCUGAGAGGAUGAUCAGCCACACUGGAACUGAGACACGGUCCAGACUCCUACGGGAGGCAGCAGUGGGGAAUCUUGCACAAUGGGCGAAAGCCUGAUGCAGCGACGCCGCGUGGGGGAUGAAGCAUUUCGGUGUGUAAACCCCUUUCGACUGGGAAGAAUGCCUCGCAAGAGGAGUGACGGUACCAGUAGAAGAAGCCCCGGCUAACUACGUGCCAGCAGCCGCGGUAAGACGUAGGGGGCCAGCGUUGUUCGGAAUUACUGGGUGUAAAGGGUUCGUAGGCGGUGCGGCAAGUUGGGAGUGAAAUCUCUGGGCUUAACCCA